rnacentral:rRNA from 1 species
UACGGAGGGUGCAAGCGUUAAUCGGAAUUACUGGGCGUAAAGCGCACGCAGGUGGCUGAGUCAGUCGAUUGUGAAAGCCCUGGGCUUAACCUGGGAAUUGCAGUCGAUACUACUCAGCUUGAGUAUGGGAGAGGGAAGUGGAAUUUCAGGUGUAGCGGUGAAAUGCGUAGAUAUCUGAAGGAACAUCAGUGGCGAAAGCGACUUCCUGGACCAAUACUGACGCUCAUGUGCGAAAGCGUGGGGAGCAAACAGG